rnacentral:rRNA from 1 species
GUGGUAUCCUGUCUGAAUAUGGGGGGACCAUCCUCCAAGGCUAAAUACUCCUGACUGACCGAUAGUGAACCAGUACCGUGAGGGAAAGGCGAAAAGAACCCCGGUGAGGGGAGUGAAAAAGAACCUGAAACCGUGUACGUACAAGCAGUGGGAGCCUCUUUAUGGGGUGACUGCGUACCUUUUGUAUAAUGGGUCAGCGACUUAUAUUCUGUAGCAAGGUUAACCGAAUAGGGGAGCCGAAGGGAAACCGAGUCUUAACUGGGCGUUAAGUUGCAGGGUAUAGACCCGAAACCCGGUGAUCUAGCCAUGGGCAGGUUGAAGGUUGGGUAACACUAACUGGAGGACCGAACCGACUAAUGUUGAAAAAUUAGCGGAUGACUUGUGGCUGGGGGUGAAAGGCCAAUCAAACCGGGAGAUAGCUGGUUCUCCCCGAAAGCUAUUUAGGUAGCGCCUCGUGAAUUCAUCUCCGGGGGUAGAGCACUGUUUCGGCAAGGGGGUCAUCCCGACUUACCAACCCGAUGCAAACUGCGAAUACCGGAGAAUGUUAUCACGGGAGACACACGGCGGGUGCUAACGUCCGUCGUGAAGAGGGAAACAACCCAGACCGCCAGCUAAGGUCCCAAAGUCAUGGUUAAGUGGGAAACGAUGUGGGAAGGCCCAGACAGCCAGGAUGUUGGCUUAGAAGCAGCCAUCAUUUAAAGAAAGCGUAAUAGCUCACUGGUCGAGUCGGCCUGCGCGGAAGAUGUAACGGGGCUAAACCAUGCAC